UACAGAAGCCUCGAGCGUUGUUCGGAAUUACUGGGCGUAAAGGGGGUGUAGGUGGUGACGUAAGUCAGACGUGAAAGCCCCGGGCUUAACCCGGGAAGUGCAUUUGAUACUGCGUUGCUAGAGUGCGAGAGAGGAAAGCGGAAUUCCAGGUGUAGGGGUGAAAUCCGUAGAUAUCUGGAGGAAUACCGAUGGCGUAAGCAGCUUUCUGGCUCGUAACUGACAC
rnacentral:rRNA from 1 species